AAGUUGAAACUCCUUUGAAAGGAGCAAGGGCAGGACGUGAAGAAAGAAGAGAACCCAUUUGAGGAGAGCCUGAGGAUGGGGAAAUUGUUCUAGGCUGUGACAUCACAGCAAAGCCUGAGCUGGGACAGUGGGGUGCUGCAGCCGGGUCUUCUUACCACCGGAGGCAAGACCCUUCGCUAGGGCCCUGCCCGUGGGCCCUGAACACACCAUGGGCUCCAGGCUCCUCUGCUGCGUGGCCCUCUGCCUCCUGGGAGCAGGCCCCUUGGACGCAGCAGUUUUUCAGACUCCAAAAUACCUUGUUGCACGGGCAGGGGAUACGAAGUCACUAAGAUGUGAACAGAAGCUGGGCCACGAUGCUAUGUACUGGUAUAAGCAAGACUCCAAGCAGCUGCUGAAGGUUAUGUUUGCCUACAACAACAAGGAGCCGUUUCUAAAUGAGACGGUUCCAAGUCGCUUCAUACCAGAAUCUCCUGACAAAGCUCAUUUGAAACUUCACAUCAAGUCCCUGGAGCUCGGUGACUCUGCCGUGUAUCUCUGUGCCAGCAGCUGAGACACAGCCCUGCAAAGUCAUUGCCUCCCUCUACACAAACCCGC